rnacentral:lncRNA from 1 species
CAUUGCACACGCGGCACCAGAAAGAGGAACAAUCUAAUUUGUGAGACUGCGGGUAUGAAACUGUCAUUCUCUGAGAGAGGACUGUGGAAGGGAAACAGAAGCUGUUCUGAAUGCAAUCAAUAAUCACUGAGAAAACUGGAUCUAAUCAACCAAAUCUACAAAUAAGUGACCAGUAUGUGCUGUAUUCUCUGUACUUCCCUCUCGUCCUCUCUCCCCAUGAGGCAACUUUGAGUAUAUUGCUCCCAAAGGUGUGCCAAGCUUGCAUUUGAACUUGGCUUUAUGUGAAAACAGAAUAUUCUUGUACUCCUUUGGAUUUAAGACGUUAGGCAACCGAGGAGUAUUCUCAAAGGAGGAUAGAAUGCCUAUAAACAAAACUACAGCUACAAGGAGUACUAGUGCGUAUUCCUCUAUCAAUGUUCUCCACACUUCUCCAACUCAGAGCCUAGCACAACUCUUCUAUAAUGCCCACCCUCCUCUACAAGGCCUGCUUCAGCCCAGCAAAGGAAGGCUCAGCCAACACUUCUUUCCUCCCGGAAAUCUUUUCAACAUCUCCAAGAGAGAAUUAGUCAGUUUAUCCUUGGAAUUUCAUAGCCAUAAAUCUGGACUUCUACUUGAUCCAAACACCAUGAUGUCUUGUGUUAUUUGUAUUAUUUAUGUAAUCAUUCCCUGUAUGAUUGUAAGCUACUCACCCUUGUGUGUUCAACAUUAUCCAGCAUAGGACAAAAGAACAUACUGAAUACAUUAAUAAAUGUACACAGUUAUAGAUCCAUCUCUUACAAUGAACUCACAGACACAGCAAAUUCAAGGGAUAAGAUGCAAACUUCAAAAAAAAAAUGAUAACCUUGCAUAGUAAACAUAAAAAUAGAGCAAAUAUUCAGUUUUUCUGAUCUUAGCUUUCCAGAGAGCGAUUAUUAAAGAAGCAAGAAUUUACCACUUACUGAAAACAGAGAGUUCAGUUUCUAACAGAAGGACUACAUUCCCUUCUCUGAGUUUGAACCUGAACAUAUUAAAGUAUUUGAAGUUAAUUCAGAAAAAAAGAGUACCAAUCUGCAACAUGUGCAAGAUUCUAUUUUUCUCUAAAAUUUCACUGUGAAGAAUAAACAGAAGGUUACUAACAGUUUAUAUCCUUACCUAUUUUGUUUUGUGGGACAAUGUAUUUUUUUCAAAUUUAAGAACUGUUUUACUUCAUUUCCUAUGCCUUAUUUUAUAACAACUGGCCAUGGAAUUUCAGUGUUUCAUAUGUGAAAGAAGGGAAAUAAAUAACAUUUUAAAGG